UGGGGAAUUUUGCGCAAUGGGCGAAAGCCUGACGCAGCAACGCCGCGUGGAGGAAGAAGGUGCUCUGCAUUGUAAACUCCUGUCGGCCGGGAAGAACCGGCGGGGCACUAAUCGGCCCCGUCCUGACUGUACCGGCAAAGGAAGCCCCGGCUAACUCCGUGCCAGCAGCCGCGGUAAUACGGAGGGGGCAAGCGUUACUCGGAAUUAUUGGGCGUAAAGGGCGCGUAGGCGGUUCUGUGCGUCGGAGGUGAAAUCCCCGGGCUCAACCCGGGAACGGCCUCCGAUACGGCAGGACUUGAGUCCGGGAGAGGGGAGCAGAAUUCCCAGUGUAGCGGUGAAAUGCGUAGAUAUUGGGAGGAAUACCAGUGGCGAAGGCGGCUCCCUGGACCGGUACUGACGCUGAGGCGCGAAAGCGUGGGUAGCAAACAGG
rnacentral:rRNA from 1 species